rnacentral:rRNA from 1 species
GCCCGGUUACAUUCCGAACCCGGAAGCUAAGCCUUUCAGCGCCGAUGGUACUGCAUGGGGGACCGUGUGGGAGAGUAGGACGCCGCCGAAC